CGGCGGACGGGUGAGUAACGCGUGGGUAACCUGCCCUAUACACACGGAUAACAUACCGAAAGGUAUGCUAAUACGGGAUAAUAUAAGAGAUUCACAUGUUUUUCUUAUCAAAGCUCCGGCGGUAUAGGAUGGACCCGCGUCUGAUUAGCUAGUUGGUAAGGUAAUGGCUUACCAAGGCGACGAUCAGUAGCCGACCUGAGAGGGUGAUCGGCCACAUUGGAACUGAGACACGGUCCAAACUCCUACGGGAGGCAGCAGUGGGGAAUAUUGCACAAUGGGCGGAAGCCUGAUGCAGCAACGCCGCGUGAGUGAUGAAGGCCUUCGGGUCGUAAAACUCUGUCCUCAAGGAAGAUAAUGACGGUACUUGAGGAGGAAGCCCCGGCUAACUACGUGCCAGCAGCCGCGGUAAU
rnacentral:rRNA from 1 species